GUCAAACUAAAGGCGAGGAGGAGACGCGGCUGGGACGCGGUCUCCGGGCAGCUCGGGCCGGGCCGGGUUGGGCCGCAGGCGGCCUCGUGAGCCGGGGCGGCGGCUGCAGGCAGCGGGGUGCCGUGGGCGGGCAGGGCAGGGCCGGGCGGGGCGAGGCGAGGCGAGGCGGCCGCUCCUCGCCCUCUGGGCACGGCCGCCCCCCGCCGCAUCCCCUCACAGUGCUGGAGUGGGGUUCUGUGCUUUACAUGCCCCAGGGCAUGGCUCAAUCUGGCAAACCCUGGAGUGAAGCUGCUUUCAGCGUGUGGAGACUGAGUGCCACCGACAGCCUGUUGUCUGUUCGUGCUCAGAGAGUUAUGUGGAAGGACAGGAGUGACUCAGUAAUAGGAAGUAUUAGUUGCACUGAGGCAAAACCAGAAAGAUACACCACAAAGAAGCACCAACUGCCUGGUAUCUUUAAGCUUUGCUUCUGAGAGUAUUUUGUUCUGUAGUUUAUCACUUGCCUGCUCAAGUUUGUUUGGAACUUCCAUACUGCUAAAUAGGACAACUGUUCUGUGUGAGGAGGAGGAGUUAGGUGGCAAAACUUGCUCUCCUUUGGAGUCCAUUUGAAAUAUAGUGACUGAUGAAGGCCAAGGAGCAAUUCUGCAAUUGUUUAUUCGCUGUAUGUGUCCAUGACCUGGAAGAAGCGUGCAGGAAGGGGCUAAAGCAGAAAUGCUUCUGAGAUGGCACAAAGUGUGUGUUGGAGGCAGACAGGAGGAGUGGGCAGAUGGCAGUCAGAACAAAACAGGUGAAUAAUCAAAUUGGGAACAAGCUGAGUAGACUGUGCAAGCACGUGUGGUGUGCAAUUUUGGUUUAGUUACUGUGAUAGGGAUUUAGUUACUUUAUGAUCUUUGCAAAAGAACGGUAAAAAAUCAUGAGCUUGCCCAUAUGUAAUGGUAGAAGUAUGCCUGCUGUUGUGUGAGGUUCCUUCUGGGAGGAACAGAACGGUCAGAGCCUUUGGGAAUGAGAGAACUUAAGGAAAAACAAAACAAAAAACCAAAAACCACUUUUUCAGUGUUUGAAACCUCACCUGCAAGUUUAUUUGGAUUGCUUUGGUAUUAAUGCUCUAAAACUAUACUGCCUGGAUACUACAGAUAUUCCAUGUCAUGAGAGAUGUUGCUGAAACAAGCUAGAGAUUGCAAGAUGUGUUUGUGAUACUUCAGCUAGAUAAAAGAAGUUCUGUAACUGGUUUGAAUCUAGACUAGACAACUGCCCAUUGUGUAGCUCUGUGAUCUCUUCCAGGUUGUACCUUGAGGGCAGUACUGGAGUGCUAAAGAAAAAAGGGAUUGUAGUGAUGAGUGAUCGAUCCCUUAACCCUUAGCACUGUGCUAGGUGUUAUACUGAGAAGAAACCCACAGGUAGAAAUGCUGUCUGCUCUCACUUUGCUUAAGAAAAUUUAGGAUAUCACUUUGUUGCAAUAAUAACGAAGGCUAUAAUCUGCACAUAAUCUAUUGAGGUACUGUUGGUGAGCCUAGCAGUAACUUGUCAAAUCCAUCUUUCCUUCUGUAUAUCUGUCUCAAAAUAUUCUUGCUUUGUUUCUUUUUUAGGGAGUUCAAUAACUUGGGACAGCAGUGAGCUGCUCUAACUGGAGAACACCCUUCUAACCAUAAAGGGGAGCUGCUCUGUCUAAGGUAGUACUUAAUAAGCAGAAGUACAACCUUUCUUAUAGUUAAAAAUUUAUUUGGUACGCGUGAACUCGCUAUGCUUGAAAUUACUCUUCCAUAAUAUCAGUAUCCUUGUGUACUGUCAGUUUAAGAUGCCUCAGUCUGAGUGACACUGGUGAAGAGUUCUACUGCAUGAGGAGGUUGAGGGAAUUAAAGCUAUAUUUCUGCAGAACUGAAGGUUAGAAAGAUAAAGGAAGAAAGAUUAACAUAUUCACAAGGAGUGCCCUAGAUAAGAUUGCUUCCUGUCUGAGGACAUACCGAAUCCUGUGGGAAUGAGGCAGCUAUACUACUAAAACACACUUCAAUUCUGAUGUUUCAUACUGAAUCAUUGCUAUGUUAUAAGUGGUAUUAAUGGAAUUUAUAAAAAUGUUAGCAUUUAUAUAAAGAAUAUAGAAAUAAGUUCACCCAAAACAUUCUUUUGCUAUGUAAGAGCUGUGUGGAGAAUGAACAAACACUUGAGGGUUAACAUGAGUAUAAUAAAUCAGAAUGCCACAUGAACCUCAGAGGACUUCCUUCAUCUAUUCACUUCAUUGUUUCCUCUGCUGAUACAGCACAGCUCAGCCAAAUGCAGGGUCAUUAUUGUUCUGAUGUUCAAAGUGUUUCUAAAUGUUCUUGAAGAUGGAACUCUUCUCUUUGCGUUGUCUUACACUGUUUAGUUUAUUAAUUGUUCAGUGUAUCACACUGAGCAUUUUUUUAAGCAGAAGUCAUGGUGUAAGUCCACAGGUUGGAGUAAUUGGUGAGGUGCAUUGUGAGCUGUUGAUAACCUACAGGAAAGGCUCAAAUUUAUACCUUCAGGAAACUGCUGUUUCCCAAAGCUGAUGCUUGGCAACAGAAGAUGCCCUGUUGACCCUCUGCAGCUUGGCAGAAAGCGCUCCUGAGUACGUGAGCUUCCAAAGCUUAUAUCCCAGGGUACAGACUGCUCAGGGCUGCUGGCUGGCACAGUGCAUUCCCAUCAGCGUAAAAUGGAGGUCACAGUUCAGUAAAGUAUAAUCUGGAAAAAGACUGUAAAAGUAGAACAGAUUAAAAACUCAGUUUUGGCAUUUAAGCGAGUGAUGACCUGUCUAGAUAUUUAGCUGCUGUUACUUGGGAUUUCUAAGAUGUAGCUCAGCUGUUGGACCUGGAGAGGCAGUGUUUACAGCAGUAGUCUCACGUCAGCUUUAGCUUUGAUUACCUUUUGGUUAAGUGUAUCAAGUUAAGAUUGCUGUGAAUUCUGUCAUAUUUUCUUUUCUGUGUUCUUCUUGUCUUGUACUUAUUCUGUGGUCACAAAAGCUGCUUGUUGUUCAUGGCUUUUCCUGGAGAUGGCUGUUGCUUUUUCUUUCUAUCCAUAUUUACUUUGCUGAAUGGUCCAUAUUUAACACGCAUCAUUGCUUUGAACAUAUUCUUACAGCGUGCUUAUCUACACUAGUGUAAUGUGUUCUGCUAACCUCAUGUUUCCAGAUAUUUAUAUAAACCGCAUAUGAUAUAAUUAUUAGCACUGCUGCUUAAACUUGAUAAUAACUGAUCUGAUCAUUUAUAAACUGCUUGCAAAUAUAUUUUUCUCAUUGUUUUCCCUUAAUUUACUGCUUUUGGAGGUUUGGUUAAAUAAUUAUUUUGGAGAUUUCACAGAAUCGUAGAAUGGCUGGGGUUGGAAGGGACCUCAGGGAUCAUGAAGCUCCAACCCCCUGCUGCAGGCAGGGCUGCCAACCUCCUUAUCUUAUACUAGACCAGGCUGCCCUGGGCCCCAUCCAACCUGGCUUUGAACACCUCCAGGGAUGGUGCAUCCACAACCUCUGUGGGCAGAUUUAACUUGUAAAACUUCUUAUUUCAGUAUUAAUACUGCAUUCACUUCUACAAACAUAACUAAACAUUUUUUUCCAUCAAAUUAGGUUAAGAGAAGAAACUUUAUAGUGAACUCAUUUCCAGUACUAGUUUUGGAGUAUAAAUUUUCCCAACACAGUGGCUUCCAGACUUUGUUUUCUUAGGUCCUUUUGUCUUAGCUCCCAGAUUUCUCUGUAGGUUAAGGACACCAUCCUUUUAAUACAGCACUUUGCUGAGGAGAACUAAGCUGUCUGCUGGUGGAUCAGGCACAUUGGGUGCAUUCAGGUUACGGGAACACUGGGAGCGUUCUGGUAUUCAGGAAGGCAGUUCUGCAACCUGUCCCGUGUUUGUUCUGUGUCAAGGGAGCAGUACUUUAAGGAAAUAACAAGGGAAGCUAAGGUGACUCCUAGAGCUUCAUGAAGGCUGGUCUGCUGUAUGUGUAGAGUUCCUAGUAGAACAGACAACUGAACAGCUUGUGAAGUUCAGUGCUUGAAUCAGCUGUGAGAUAGGACAGAUUCCUUCAACCAGGUUAUUUGUGAUAUGAGAAUACCAGCAUCCCCAUAUGACCAAACCUCUGCUGCUGUUCUUAAAUACCGUUAAUCGUUAAUUAAACUGCACCAGGAGAGUGUUUUCAUAAGUCAGCUACAUACAAAGAAAAGGUCAGUAGUAGUUUUAUGUCCGUCUGUUGGUGCGUUAUAAAUGUACUAUUGUAGAAGUCUACUUAAUAGUGCAGGUAGCUCAUAGUAUGCUGAUAACACAAACUAUCUGUCAGUUUCAAUCACUUUCUUAACCCACUGUAACAGCAGAAUUUAUUUUACCUGUCUCGGUAAUGUUUGUGCAGUUAGGAGUUCCAGAUCACUGGAGACUGACGUACUGUGACAUACAGUUUAUUGAUCUUUUGUCUUUUAAGCUGUAUGUAGCGAAUGGAACUCAUUUGAGGAAUCCUACUUUUAAAUAGUAGAGUAUCAGGUUGGGUGUGGAAGGACUAAAUGUGAGAUUGUUUUCAUACGGAAAAUAUGUUUGAUGGUAAAUACCACCAACUAAUGCUAAUUUUCUUGCACUUAAUUGGAGCAUAAGGUAGUUGACUGUGGGUCUGUGGAAAGACAAUGAGUUUUGGUCUGUUACUGAUACCAAAGUAUAUAUUAUACAAUGACUAGAAUUUGGUAUUUGCAGUCUUUCCUUAAGUGCACCUUCAUAGGUCCCACUGUGCAACUGAACUUCUGCUUCGCUAUUUCUGCAGAACAUGUGUUGUAGAAGUGAUAGGGUUAAUGCUCAUUAUUCUGGUGCUGGUUACAUUUGAGUUCUUCUAGUUGAGAGGCAGAUCACAAACUACAGGUGAAACUGACCUUCUAAAACUGAUUUUUCAGGAAUAGUUUCUUGAUGCUUUUACUGCUUCUCUGUUGAGUUAAUAUGGUUCCCACAGGUUGCUGCUUGAGGUGCAGCAGUUCUGUAAAACCAAGUGGGAAUUUGUAGCUGGCCACUAAAAAUGAAGAGUAAAAGCAGUGGGCCUGUAUGAACUGAGCAUGGCAAGAGUCCUAUAAGAAGGGUUUUUUUGUUUUUCUUGUGGGCAUGUUAUUGUUGUUCAUAUGUAAAUAUGUGGAAGUGGGUUGGUAUGGUUAAAGCUACUUCUCUUAAUUUGUCUUCUUAGUUUUGUGGUUCAUUUGUGUUGGAGAGAGUCCUUUUUAAUGACAUUUUUGUUCUCUAGCAAAGUGCACUUUAAAUCUAGAUAAAACCUAAUGUAUCAUGUAGAAUGUGGAGACUUAAUGAUGUUUCUCUGUGGGAGCUCCUCUUUGGGUUUGGCUUGAAUCUUGUGGGCAGACUUUACCACAGACCUGUACCCUUCACCUAAUGAAGUAAUUAUUGUUUGUCUGUUAAUAACCAGCCACCUUGGUUAGUGGAUUUUGCAAAUACUUUUUAGGAAUUCCAUUGUUCAGAAAUCUGUUGCACUGCCAAGUUCUCCGUCUUAGGUGCUAUAGAUGCUUUGGAAAACAAAAAUGUUUGUUUGGUUUUGCAUUGUUUUGGCUUGCCUUUUGCCUCUCCUUAAGGUCAGAAUGCUGUCAGGACUGAUCUGUACUAUCUGUGUACCAGCAGGUGGAGCAUUGGUAGCAUAAGAUGGGUUUCUGUCACUUAGUUCAGGUGUUUGGGAGGAAGAUAGUUCCUUCAGCGUUUUAGAACAUUGUGACCUCUGUGGAGGUGGAAGCUGCUGACUCUGUUUGGUGUUAACAUGGCACAUUAACAAAAAAUGUUGAAGGACAAUUUUCAGACUUGCAGGUGAGGUGAACUUGGCUGUAGAGAGCAAAAGGCAGCUUGGUGUUUCUCUGCUUUUUUCAAAUGCCAGUUACCUGCUGUGAGGCGUGGAAGUAUUGAAGCUACAUCUAAAUGACUGUGAAGCUUUUAAGGGAGCAGAAUUUUGCCAAGUUUGUGGGGGUUUUGUUUGCUGCAGAGUGAGAGGAGGUUCAUACGGUUUCACAAUUCACCUGCACUGAUUUAAAGUUGUGUUGUCACUAAAACAGACAGUCCUGCCUUACAAAGUUUCUUCCUGCCAGUGCCAGGGACUGCCCUGCCACCUGCCUGCAGAAAACCGAUCUUUUUUUUUCCCCUCACCAGGAUUAGUUUGCAGCUAAAUAUAGCAGUUGGUUCCAGUAACUUGCAUCAUAUUUUUAUCAAAUUCCUGUAAGAAUGGAGAAAGCAGGAAUCCCUCUGCCAGAAGUGAGGGCGAGCAGGACUACUGUUCUGCUACCCUACUCUUACUAUGAUCAAUCUAAAUCACCCUGAAAUCACUUUGUAAGUACUGUAGCAGUCUUUUCAUGUCUUUGGAAAGGUCCCUUAUGAUAAUGAUACCAGCCUAAAGGUAACGAUGGUAAACAAGAUUAAAUAUCUCUGGGUGAAGUUCGUAUCACAGAGUUGUCUUUUGAGGUGUGACCAAGAUCUCAACUGUGUGGAAUUUUUGCAUUCAUACAUUACUCUGUAUUUUUCAGACACGCCUAGAUGUCAAGUGUUUGGGUUCUGUGACUUAAAAUUUAGCUAGUAAAAACAGCCUCAGGAUUGUCUUUGGAAUGACUUUACAUCAUCAUCUGCAGAAUAGCUGUUGCUGUAAAUUGCGUAGUGGCAUUCUUUGUUGCUGAUCCUGCUAUACAUACGUACGUAAAGCUGUAUGGCGAACAGGUAUACAGGUAUUGGACCAGAGAGAUUAUCGCGUUACAAAGGAGAAAUGAAAUAAAGAUCUUACCCACAUCCUGGGCUUGCAGAAGGGCUCCAAGAGGAAGGAUCUCCACUAGAGAUCCUUCCUCGUUGGGAGUCAGCCCUUAAAUGGGGUCUAGGAGGGUCACUUCCGGUCACUCAGGUGAAAUUGUGUUCACUGUGCCCCUGCAGCUGACUCAGCGCUCGCCUCAGGUGGUCAAUCAGAGGUUCAGGCUGUGAUUCAACAGUUCCCAUACAUACAGCUUACCUGUUUUCCUGUUUGGUUGGUUUGUUUCAUGUGAGAGCCAGAAAGAAAGAAGAUGAAUCUUCGUUUAUUCCCUUAGGAUACUUUACCAAGAUUGAAGUUGGGAAUAUUUUGUAUCAGAUCUCUCACAUUUUUUGGAAAUGUACUUGGAACAGUAUUGGGUAUCAUUUGGCAAUGCAAGUUUAGAAUGUUUUUUUUGACAUGGUGAGCGUUAAUUUGAACCUUGGAAUGGGCCUGUAUGUUUCCAACUUUUUCUAGUAAGUACUGCUUAAUGAAACUUUGCUUUAAGGUGUUGCUUCAGUUUGUAUUGCAGCACUGUCUUAUGUCUUACAACUUCAGAAAAGAUUUCCUGCUCUAAGUGCUUUUCCUGCCUUUUUAAUACUCAUUGGAUAUAUCACUAAACUUGCACAAUAACUGAAAGGCCACUUAGUAGAUUACAUGAGAUAUUGUACUGAGGGACAUGGUUUAGUGUGGAAGUAUUGGUGGUAGGUGGACAGUUGGGCUGCAUGAUAUUGGAGAUCUCUUCCAACCUUGGUGUUUGUAUGGUUCUGUGUGUAUUUUAACUAGGAUCAGAAAUGCAGUUUUGAUCAGACUCAUCUGAUAGUCUGCAGUUACUAUUUUGCAGCUUUUGUGGAGCAUAAAAAGCCUUUUCUUUUUGGAUGAAACAAAAUUGGCAGUUGAACUUGGCUGAUGCAUUUGAAUGAAUGAUAUUUAGGCCAAACAUGGGACUACAGCUAAUUUUGGAGUAAGGCUCUGUGAAGCACAGGAAGUGUGAGUGUUGUCUUAAGCACAAACUGUCUUUUUUUCUUUUUUGCUUCCCGUUGCACCAAAAGAUGUGGAAAACUUAAGAGUUGAUGGAAGGCAGAGAGUACAUUUUAGCUACCGCUCUGUUGAUGAAGUAUGUGCAUUCUUAUUUUGAAACCCAGAGAUGACUCAAGAUUAACUGGCCAAAAAUAUCCAAAAAGCAGGAUAAUCAUGUCAUGAAUAACCUAGUUUUUUCUUUAUCAGCCUGUUCUGUGUACUGCAUUGAAUUGUUACUUGCCUUAUGUUUUUUUUUUUUAAGUAGGGGAAGGAACUUCUGCUCCAAAGUUUCCCAGCUGCUUGUUUAUUGGUUUAAUUCUGUUUCUCAGUAAAGCUCUGCACUUGUACUGUGACAAAAGAGCAGUUUGGUGGGUCAUAGAAUACAUCUCCUGUAUUUUGUUUGUUAUAGAAUCAUACAACUGUUCAGGUUGGAAAAGACCUUAAAGAUCAUCGAGUCCAACCACAACCUAACCAUACUACCCUAACUCUAACAGCACUCCACUAAAUCAUGUCCCUGACCACUGCAUCCGAAUGGGUUUUUAAACACAUCCAGGGGUGGUAACUCAAGCACCUCCCUGGGGAGCCUAUUCCAGUGCUUAACAACCCUUUCUGUAAAGAAGGUUUUCUUGAUAGCCAACCUAAACUUCCUGGUGCAACUUGAGGCCAUUUCCCCUCAUCCUGUCACCAGUGAGAAGAGAUCAGUCCUGCUCUUGCUGUAAGUACCUUUCAGAUAUUGGAAGGGAGCAAUAAGGUCUCCCCUCAGCCUCCUUUUCCCCUGACCAAACAGUCCCAGUUCCUUCAGUUGCUGCUCGUAGGGCAUACUCUCCAAGCCCUUCACAAGCCCUGUUGCCCUUCUUUGGACCUGCUCCAGCACCUCCAUGUCCUUUCUGUACUGAGGUGCCCAAAACUGAACACAGUACUCAAGGUGAGGCCUCACCAGUGCCGAGUACUAAACGAUUAAAAAACACCUAUUUAGAGUUGGUGGGGAAAUAAGAUUUAGUAGGGAAAACAGAAAGACCAGAAAUCUGUAGCCUAUCCUUAAGUGUUAAGCUUUUUUGCAUGUUGCUGAAGAGUGAUGUUCUAAAAAUUGUCUCUUCAAAAUAGUUUUUUGGGAGACAUUCUACAUACAUUUCAAACUGAAGACAGCUUCUGCAAGCAACCGAAGUGAAGAUAUCUUUCAUGCUGUCUACUCUUAAAGGUGCUGGUGUAAAAAUAAGAGUCUGGAGGGGUUUUUUGAAGAGCAUUGAUUAUGAUGUACAAAGGUCACCUACAAACUCUCACUGUAAUAAUGAUUGCCUUUUCUUUUAGUAGUCCAACAGCUAAAUGUUACGUUGUUCCAAGUAAGGAAAUAUGACUCAAAGUCAACAGAUACACUCCUGCUGUAUUUACAGACCGGGAAGUCUGUUUUGCUGCUUUGAGUUAGAAACUAUAUAAGGAGGUGGCUUGGUGCUACAGCAAAUGUUUGGGAGACUAUGAAAAUAGUAAUUUUGUAAAGAUAUUUGUCAGAUCUUUUGGGCAGUUGACUUGAGAAUAUGAGGAAAUAUUUUCAAAGUGAACUGUUUUGCCAGUGGGUUGUGUCUCUUUCUGGUUACUGUCAGUAAAUCCUGAAAACUGAUUUUCCUUAGAGCAACUUGGUGAAAUCUUGUAUUUUGAAAGUAAAAGUUUUCAGAGUUAUUGACUCUUUUUAAAUGUUCUUUGCUGUUGUAUCAUUUCUUGUUUUGCUUUUGAGAUUGAUGCUUGAAUGGAUGCUGUGAUGACGUGCUGUCCUUGUGUGGACUGCUUCCUUUGGGGAUAGCAGGCUGUGUACAUGUACUUAAAAGAAUGGGCCUCUUGGCUUUACUGCAAAACAAAACUUUUUUAGUACUGCACACUUACAUGACGUCCAUGACUUGCAUGCUUGCUGGGCUGUGUUUAUUUUAUUUGAGUAAUUCAAAAGUUGUAUGUAUUUUGCUGGGAGCAAGGUUAAGAUUUUGAGUUUUGUACAGAUCGCUUCUCUGUCUGAUGUCCUUCAGGGUUUAAGUGUGAUGGAGGACUUGAGCUGGUGCUUCACACCAUAAAGAAAACAAGUCGUUGCAACACUGCACUUCCACCAAAGUCUGCUUCCUUCAGUAGCAAUCUCAGAUUCUGCUCAUUGAAAUUGUGCAUAUGAGAAUUUGUUGUAUUUGCAACUACUAAUUUGAAAGGGUUAAAAUAUGUUCACAGAGGACUGCCCUUAAAACUAUUGUAUUGUAUUCCUGUUAGAUCUCUUGGUGGCCUGGCCCAACUUGUGUAUUUCCUUACCAGCUUCUCUAGCAAUAGAGUAAAAUAGUGUAGUCUUAAUUGUGCUGAUCUUAACAGAGCAUCCAAAUGUGCCUUUGGUCAGCAGUAUUGAUGACUCAUUGGAGUUAUCAAAUUGCUUCCAGCAGUGUUACAGAGAACUACUUAAGGCAGCUGGUAUCACCAGAGAAUUAUAAUCUCAAAUGGGAGCAAAUAGUCAUUAAAUGAAGCAUUCAAAAUGUGCUGUCAUUUUGGAGUAUGCUACAUCAGACUGGGCCGAUAGUCAAUCAAAAAUGGGAUGGGGAUGUGAAGAGAAAAUAGCCUAACAACUGGGAUGUGUAGCUGCUCUGGUCUUGAUUUCUAUUUAUUUAUUUUAGGGAAGGUUUUUCCAUUCACUCUUAACCAUUUUUGAGCCAGCAGGCACGAAGGGCUUCAGUGUUUUAAGAAACUUCCUAAUGGAUUUUCUUGCUUUAAAAUUUAAAAAUUUACUUCUUAUGAGCAGAGCUCUUCUGAUAUUAUUCCAAAGAACAUCUGUUAAAAGUAUUCUGUAUCCUAUUUCUUGUCAAGUCCUAGGGUUGGUUUUGCCCUCCUGUGACUACCUUCUGGUCCCUUUAAAAGAAAUGAUCAGAUUAAUUUUUUCAUAUUCAGUAGUGUGAAUUUUCUUUGUAUGUUCCAGAUUGAGUGUAAGACAUAAAUGAUCCUCCAAAGAAGCUUUUCUCAAAAAAAAAAAGAGCUUAUUUUCUGAAGACAACUUUGUCACUUGAACUAGAGAUGCUUCUUACCUUGACUGAAAAGGCAGACUAUGGGCACAAACUGGAAGACUCCUCAAGGUAAAAUAGGAACAUGUCAUGUGGAGAUACCUGUAUCCUAUUUAAAAUGAUUUGUUUUAAUACUUUGUAGUAAAGUGUCUCCAGGACUCUACCCAUAGAUUAGCCAACCUGGUUUUGGUGCAGCUUUUUCCAGGGAAUAAGACUAAAAUUCCUUUCCUGUAGGAGAAACCAAAUUAGAGUUGAAUAGAGGAAGCUAUAAAAUCAGACCUAUUUACUGCAGGCAGCAAUAUUUGAGUUAAAUGUUAAACUCACUGAAUUAGUGUAAUCAACAUUUGACACCUCAGAAGAGGUAAUACUACUGUGGGAAUGAGGAAGGGCAUCAGCUAUUUGUGUGAUAUCAGACCUAAUAUGUAGCAUGUAUUCAUAUUUCUCCUUAAUUUGGAGAUCCAGGUAUUCAUCUUUCUCUUGUGGUCAGUGCAUGUUGCUGUAUCUCCUCUGCUGAAAAAGCAAAAAUUGCAGGGAAAAAAAAAUUCCAAAAAUAUAUGGCUAUACAUUAUACAGCAACAAUCUGUUAGAAGCCUAUUCUCAGAGAAGGCAAAAAUAUAGCUAAGGAUGCUAAUACUCUUCCUUCCUUUUUCUGUUCUGAUUGCAGGUAAGUCUACUGGUGGGGGUUUUUAUGAGGUGAGGGUAAUACAUUAUGACAAAUUGUUAGUGACAGAUGGAUUUUUUUUACUUAGCUUACUUCUAAAGCAAAAUGAUCUGGAUUAGCCACUUCCUGCCCCCCGAGGUGGCUGCACAACUUCUCAGGUUACCUAAAUUAAAGACUUAAUUUGGCUCAGUAAGUUACUCUAUCAGGUUGAGAGCCAAGAAGGUGUUUUAUAAAUACAUGAUUUCUGCAUGCUGAGCAGUGUUGUUCAGUCAGAGGGAAGAGGAGAAUGGGGGGGGGAGUCUUUAAUUGCUGCCUUCAGUUACCUAAUGGAUCAUGACAUGAAACCAGCUCUUUCUUGGUGUUGUGCAGCAAAAGGGUGAGAAGCACUGGGCACAAGAUGCAGCAAAGGAAAUUCCAGAUAGGUGUAAGGCAGAAGAAAAAAGAUAGACCUGUAGCUACACAGACGUGACUAGAUUGCUUGUAGAAGCUAUGAAAUAUCUUUGCUUGGGGAUGCUCAGAUUUUGAGCAGGGAGUUUGCUGUAGGUGAUUUCCAGAGAGCCUUCCAGAGGUCAUUUCCACUGUAAGAUGUUUUUGGUUUCCAUUUGGUGAUUAGUUCACGACUUUUCUUCACCGAGAAGGCUUAUCGUUCUGAGCUGUCUUUCUGAUCUUCGAUGGUAAUCACUUUUCAUGUCUCAUUUGUUAAAAUUAUGCUCACUAGAGUCAGAAAUGGUGUCUGUGGAGACAGUGCUUUUGUAAAGCAUGUAUUAACUGAAAGGUUCUGACUGCAUGUCUGUUUUACUGUAUUUGUCCAAGUAAAGACUUCCAAAAGUGAAACCAGCUUUGAAGGUUCUCUUACAGUGCUGUUUUUGGUGCUGUUUUUUCAACUUCAGUUAAUUUUAUGUAUUUACAGUUCACAGGACUAAUACUCAGCAGAAUAUUUUGGAGCAGAGUGAGCUAAGAAGUUGAAGACAGGUUGUAUUCUCUUUAAGAGAAAAAUUCUAGGGUGUGAACUUUGAUGCAGAUGUGCAACUUAAUGGUGUAUUCAAUUUCUGCCUACUGUUCCUUUGUUUUAAACUGCUUAUUUAAAAGCAUAAGAACACCCCUUCCUCUUUCUGUGUUUGACCCCCAGCAUUCUGCAUGCUCAGUAUACUCCAGCUAAUACUGAGAUUAUUUGGAUUGCAGGUGAAUGUCUGCUUUUUCAUGGGCUGUGGAGAAGGACAGUGAGCAGCCUUUGUAGUUGCUACUCCUGUAUAUUUUUGGGAAAUAAUGCAAGAAAUGAAUAGGGGCCAGUUUUGUCUUGCAUGCUGUGUCUGUUCUUGAGUUUGUUAGAUUGUAGUCAUUCUCUCUGAUGCAGUUCUAGAUUGAUGGUCAAUUAUUUUUACCUCGUAAACCUCCAUUCUUUGAAACGAGUGAAUCAUGGGCCAGAGUGUGUAGGACAGCUUUUUUCUUAUGCUUAGUCACAGGAGACUAAGCUUACAGUUUUAUUCUAACUUAGCUCCCCAAGAUAUGCAGAGCAGCUGGGUGGAUGCUGUUCUUAAUUAGGAUCUGAACUUUAUUUUGGCUCGCACCAUCACUGUUUCAUUGUUUAUCUUCCUUUGGUAAGAUGAGAACAGUAUCUUAUGACAAAAACAUUUAGUUGUUUGGUUUUCUGUAAUGGUUAUGUAUGACAUUUGCAUCCUCACUGAAAUUUGGGCUUAGAUAUGUUAAUAGUGUACUGUUUUACACAUUCCCAUGCAUUCUUAAAAUAUGAGAUGCUUUUUUUGACAGCUCAAUUUAAAACUUUUUACUUCCUACACAGUGAAACUGUCAGUUUUAGUGUUUGCACAUAUGUAUAUAUUUAGUGUAUCCUUCUAGUAUUUGAAGAGAGCUUCUAAGCAGGAAGGGGAGUGACUUUUUACAUGGUCUGAUAGUGAUAGCUCAAGGGAGAAUGGCUUUAAACUAAAGGAGGGGAGAUUUAGGUUAGAUGUUAUGGAAAAAAAAAUCCUUUCUCAGAGGAUAGUGAGGCACAGGAGCAGGCUGCCCACAGACGUUGUGGCUGCCCCAUCCUGGUGGUGUUCAAGGCUGAGUUGGAUGGGGCCCUGGGCAGCUUGAUCCAGUGAGAGGCAACCGUACCCAUGGCACGGAGUUGGAGCUUGGUUAUCUUUAAGGUUCCUUCCAAUGUAAGCCAUUCUGUGAUUAGUGAUUGUAAGAAGCAGAGCGUGUGGUUUCCUGAAAAUAUACAGGAAAUGCAGUUCUAAAACUACUUACAUAUGCUUCCUACUUCAUAAUUCAUUGUGCACUGUAAACUUCUAAUGCUAUAGCGAACUCUGUGGCUGUUAAAUGAUCAGACUGCCCUAUGUUAGGACAGAUUGUAAUCUAUCUGAAUCACUGCGUGACAUUUAUGCUGUUGAAAUUGAAUUGGACUAUGUGAGAGCUGAAAGCUAUGGCACUUAAAUUCAGCACUGAUUCAGACACUGUGUUUUACUCGGGGCAAAUAACUUAAUGUCUAAUACUCAGUUAUGUUCUGGUCAGUAGAUGUGACUUAAAAUAAUUGGAGCAAUAGCAGGGAUCUGCUUUAACUUUCUUUUUCAGUUAGCUAUUUGUGCAUGAGAACUGAGACUUCUAAUUCACUGAGUAAUUGUAAUCAUGCUGAUCAUGGAAUGAGGAUAUCUUAAGAUAUGGGAAGAAAAUAAGCUCUGUGGGAAAUACAUAAGCUCUCUUUAGCUUCCUUGUUCCCCUGCAUCUUCCUUUCCCUUCUUGCUUUCCUUCUUCCCAUCUUGUUUAACUUUCUGAUCACGGUGCGGUCCAAGCUCAGUAUGACUGAUAAAAUAAUAUGUGGCACUUGGGAAAACUGCAGUACCUCUCUGUGACCUGUGUGGCUUGGGUUUGGAAACUGAAAGAGCACAAACUUCAGGUAUCACAGCAGUGCCCUUUUUGUUGGUGUUAAACCUCUUGGUGAAUCCCUUGUACUGACAGCUUAAGAGCCAGAUUGGUAAAUGUUGUGUGUCAGGAACAGUUUAUGUAGUUUAAAGAUUCACAUGGUUCUUCACAUUUUCUGUAUGAGGAAUUUGAAGGGGAAUUCACAUUGCAAGAAAUGCUACAUUCAUUGUUGUUCUUCAGCAAAUACAGUUAACAGCAUUAAUGGAAGCCAGCAAUCAAUGUCCUUCUGUUUGCAGUGACGUUAGAAUAAGUCCUGGUUCUGUGCUUUUAAGCUUUAGCAGGGUUAGAGGACAGAACCUUUGACAAAAGCCGGAGUGUGGUGUCUUUUUGUAUUUGUUUGUAAGUGUUCAGGAGAAUAGCAGAAGAUGCUUAAUCUUCAGUUUUCAUAGAAGAACUUUUAUGGAAGUUCUAUCCUUCAAAAGUGUAGUUGCACGGAACUACACUGCAGAUAUAUUUUCUUAAUGUUUUUGGAUAGAGCUGAAAAUUUAACUCCUUUGUACAAACAUGAUCACACUGUUAGAUGUUGUGCUGGGGUUGGUAGCUGACAGUUUGGUAAAACAGCAAGAGACUUCACUGUCAUUUGUAUUGGUUUUUUUGUGAUGAUCUGAGUGUUAAAAUGAAGCUGGAGGGAGUGUCCUCUCUUUAGGCAGGUGACAUUGUGGUAACCUUCAUUACUUCCUUAAGAAGCAAGUGUUGAAGGAGAGCAGCACAAGAAAUGGUUCACUGCAGCAUAAUGCUUAGCAGCCUAAUUAGUCGAAUACCAUGUGCCUACCUCUGCAUGAAAUAACCCAUUUCUUCACAAGGUAAAAUAGGAAUUUUCAGUUUUGGAACAGCCUGAAGAGGCCUUUGUUGCAAAUGUCCGUUGGCUUUUUAACUAUUUAUUCUCAAAUAAUGAAGGUCAGCAUGGUAUCCAUAGAGACUGCAUGCAGCUUCCUCGUUAAUCUUGGCAAACUCCUGUAAUAACUACAUUCACUUAAUACUAACAAGUGUUCACAUUUCAUUAAUGGGAGAACAGUAUGGGAUUGACAUUCUGUAACUGAGAAAUCUUGAAUGUGUAGUUUUUCUUCUUUAAACUCUGUUAGAAUUUCCCUUUACGAGUUGCCUUGGAGGCCUGAACAGCCUCAGAACAAGCAACUUUAAAUUGCAGGAGUCUGCGUAUUUCCUGGAAGCAGAAAACUUCUUACUGGCUAAGCCUUUUCUUUCUGAAAGGAUCAAGAAUGAUAAACAAGGAUAAAUGGGUCUGCUUUCAGCUCUGUUAGUAAAAGGAAAGUUUUCUGCUAUGAACUAGAAUAUAAAGGCAUUGAAGUAUUAUGUAAAUAUGAUCAAGCUAGAAUGAUAAGAUUUAAAAAAAAUAACCUCAUAGCAGACUCUCCACCUCUGCUUUUUUUUCUUCCUUUUUCUUUAACCAAGAAUGGGAGAAUUUCUGCAUCACCAGAACACCGCUGAAGUCCUUUGUAUUUGACUGUCAGAUUACUUCUGUGCAGAAAAUUCUAAUCAGAGUGUUAAUAUGAAAUAACUGAGUGCUGUAUGCUUAAUAAUGACUUUGAUUUAAAUUAAAUUCUUUGUUCUUUAAUAGUACUUUGUCAUUUAAAUACUUUUAAUAUUGAAAGGGUUCUUUUAACUGAGAAGAAAGAAAUUGACUGCAUCAGAACAGAAUGCAGUCUUGUGGGACUUUCUGGUACUGAGUUGCUGAAGGGGGGGAAGUAAAAUGGUUCCAUCCAGAGGCUGUUAUUGUUUUAUUCCCACCCUGACACUUUCAAUGCUUACCCCAGGAUAUAUAUAUAUAGAGAGAGAG
ensembl:lncRNA